ensembl:lncRNA
CCGCAAUGAAAUAAAGUAGAAUAAGAAAUGGCCUCACCCAUCCACGCAUGGCAGUAUUAAAAGACAAAAAAAAACCUCCUUCGAGCAAAUAUGUCAUUGAAAUGGAAGGCCAACUCACUACAAUGGUAAACUGGGAACACUCUAUACCAGGUCAAAUACACUGGGAAACACACACUAUACCAGGCCAAAUACACUGGGAAACACACACUAUACCAGGUCAAAUACACUGGGAAACACACACUAUACCAGGUCAAAUACACUGGGAACACACACUAUACCAGGUCAAAUACACUGGGAAACACACACUAUACC